rnacentral:rRNA from 1 species
GACGAACGCUGGCGGCGUGCCUAAUACAUGCAAGUCGAACGCUGAAGGAGGAGCUUGCUCUUCUGGAUGAGUUGCGAACGGGUGAGUAACGCGUAGGUAACCUGCCUGGUAGCGGGGGAUAACUAUUGGAAACGAUAGCUAAUACCGCAUAAGAGUAGAUGUUGCAUGACAUUUGCUUAAAAGGUGCAAUUGCAUCACUACCAGAUGGACCUGCGUUGUAUUAGCUAGUUGGUGGGGUAACGGCUCACCAAGGCGACGAUACAUAGCCGACCUGAGAGGGUGAUCGGCCACACUGGGACUGAGACACGGCCCAGACUCCUACGGGAGGCAGCAGUAGGGAAUCUUCGGCAAUGGACGGAAGUCUGACCGAGCAACGCCGCGUGAGUGAAGAAGGUUUUCGGAUCGUAAAGCUCUGUUGUAAGAGAAGAACGAGUGUGAGAGUGGAAAGUUCACACUGUGACGGUAUCUUACCAGAAAGGGACGGCUAACUACGUG